rnacentral:rRNA from 1 species
UGCCUAGGCAGUAAGAGGCGAUGAAGGACGUUGUAGUCUGCGAUAAGCCCGGGGGAGCUGACAAACAAGCUUUGAUCCCGGGAUUUCCGAAUGGGGAAACCCGGCCGUAAGGUCAUCAUGCACUGAAUACAUAGGUGUAUGAAGCAAACCCAGGGAACUGAAUCAUCUAAGUACCUGGAGGAAAAGAAAUCAACCGAGAUUCCCUUAGUAGCGGCGAGCGAACGGGGAACAGCCAGCAAUCUUUAUCCAUUAUGUUAGGAGAACGGUCUGGAAAGUCCGGCAAUAAAAGGUGAUAGCCCUGUAUCUGAAAACAUUUUGGAAGAACUAGGUUUGCAAUAAGUAGGUCGGAGCACGUGUAACUUUGACUGAAGAUGGGGGGACCAUCCUCCAAGGCUAAAUACUCCUUACUGACCGAUAGUGAACUAGUACCGUGAGGGAAAGGCGAAAAGAACCCCGGCGAGGGGAGUGAAAUAGAACCUGAAACCGGAUGCGUACAAGCAGUAGGAGCCCUUCGGGGUGACUGCGUACCUUUUGUAUAAUGGGUCAGCGACUUAUAUUUAGUAGCGAGGUUAAGUGAAUAACGGAGCCGUAGCGAAAGCGAGUGUUAACUGCGCGUUUAGUUGCUAGGUAUAGACCCGAAACCCGGUGAUCUAGCCAUGGGCAGGUUGAAGG